GGGUGAGGCUUAUCCAUUGCAUACCUGAUGUGCUGACCCCUGCGAUUUCCCCAAAUGUGGGAAAGUUG
rnacentral:snRNA from 1 species